rnacentral:rRNA from 1 species
UGGGGAAUAUUGGACAAUGGGGGAAACCCUGAUCCAGCCAUGCCGCGUGAGUGAUGAAGGCCCUAGGGUUGUAAAGCUCUUUUGUGCGGGAAGAUAAUGACGGUACCGCAAGAAUAAGCCCCGGCUAACUUCGUGCCAGCAGCCGCGGUAAUACGAAGGGGGCUAGCGUUGCUCGGAAUCACUGGGCGUAAAGGGUGCGUAGGCGGAUCUUUAAGUCAGAGGUGAAAGCCUGGAGCUCAACUCCAGAACUGCCUUUGAUACUGGGGAUCUUGAGUUCGGGAGAGGUGAGUGGAACUGCAAGUGUAGAGGUGAAAUUCGUAGAUAUUCGCAAGAACACCAGUGGCGAAGGCGGCUCACUGGCCCGAUACUGACGCUGAGGCACGAAAGCGUGGGGAGCAAACA